rnacentral:rRNA from 1 species
AGAGUUGAUCCUGGCUUAGGACGAACGCUGGCGGCGUGCCUAACACAUGCAAGUCGAACGAAGCUCCUGAGCGGAUCUUCGGAUGAAGCGAAGGAAGACUAGUGGCGGACGGGUGAGUAACGCGUGAGCAACCUGCCUUUCAGAGGGGGAUAACAGUUGGAAACGACUGCUAAUACCGCAUAACAUAUUGGAGUCGCAUGGCUCCGGUAUCAAAGCUGAGGCGCUGAGAGAUGGGCUCGCGUCCGAUUAGAUAGUUGGUGGGGUAACGGCCUACCAAGUCGACGAUCGGUAGCCGGACUGAGAGGUUGAACGGCCACAUUGGGACUGAGACACGGCCCAGACUCCUACGGGAGGCAGCAGUGGGGGAUAUUGCACAAUGGGCGAAAGCCUGAUGCAGCAACGCCGCGUGAGGGAAGACGGUUUUCGGAUUGUAAACCUCUGUCUUUGGUGAAGAAGGAAGUGACGGUAACCAAGGAGGAAGCCACGGCUAACUACGUGCCAGCCGCCGC